GAAACAAUUGCUUAAAGGCUCUCUCUGUUGGUUGAUUGCUAACUUGAUGACCCUCGAUCAACUUUUAACUUGAUCAACCAAGUGAUUCUUUCCAUAUUUAAUGGGUUAACUAGUUUCCUAACUACUCCAAAGAAAUGGUUAAUAGGAAAUAAUAUUUAAAUUAUGUCAAUAUUCCUCUUGCCAAAUAUAAAAUUUAUGUUCCUGGAUAGCAUAAACCAUCCAAAACCUUUAUAAAAUUAUUAUGAUGGAAUAACAAGUAGUAUUUGCCCAAGUUAGCACAUAAUAAUGAUACUAAAUAAUUGUUAUUAUGUUAUUAUGCGGCUAGUGGGA
rnacentral:lncRNA from 1 species